AAUCUAAACCGAGUAUUUAUAUAUUUGGCAUGAUGAAAAAACCAAUGACGUGUAAAGAACCCAACAUCAAGGGGUUACCGUCAUUGGUCAUAUCUGGAAACGGAUAUGGAUAGCUAAGGCUAUC
rnacentral:sRNA from 19 species